UACGUAGGGUGCAAGCGUUGUCCGGAAUUAUUGGGCGUAAAGAGCUCGUAGGCGGUUUGUCGCGUCCGCUGUGAAAAUCCAGGGCUUAACCCUGGACCUGCAGUGGGUACGGGCAGACUAGAGUGCGGUAGGGGAGAUCGGAAUUCCUGGUGUAGCGGUGAAAUGCGCAGAUAUCAGGAGGAACACCGGUGGCGAAGGCGGAUCUCUGGGCCGUAACUGACGCUGGAGGAGCGAAAGCAUGGGGGAGCGAAACAGG
rnacentral:rRNA from 1 species